AACUAGCCCCGAUAGUAGCGGCAUCCUUUUUCUUUUUUGCAAAAAAAGAAAAAGAUAUAGCGGAUAGCGGGAUUAAGC
rnacentral:sRNA from 1 species